rnacentral:rRNA from 1 species
CCUACGGGGGGCUGCAGUGGGGAAUAUUGGACAAUGGGCGAAAGCCUGAUCCAGCCAUGCCGCGUGUGUGAAGAAGGCCUUCGGGUUGUAAAGCACUUUCAGUGGGGAAGAAAGCCUUGGGGCUAAUACCCUCGAGGAAGGACAUCACCCACAGAAGAAGCACCGGCUAACUCCGUGCCAGCAGCCGCGGUAAUACGGAGGGUGCGAGCGUUAAUCGGAAUUACUGGGCGUAAAGCGCGCGUAGGCGGUCUGAUAAGCCGGUUGUGAAAGCCCCGGGCUCAACCUGGGAACGGCAUCCGGAACUGUCAGGCUAGAGUGCAGGAGAGGAAGGUAGAAUUCCCUGUGUAGCGGUGAAAUGCGUAGAGAUCGGGAGGAAUACCAGUGGCGAAGGCGGCCUUCUGGACUGACACUGACGCUGAGGUGCGAAAGCGUGGGUAGCAAACAGGAUUAGAUACCCGGGUAGUC